GAUGAACGCUGGCGGCGUGCCUAAUACAUGCAAGUCGAGCGAACAGAUGAGGAGCUUGCUCCUCUGACGUUAGCGGCGGACGGGUGAGUAACACGUGGAUAACCUACCUAUAAGACUGGGAUAACUUCGGGAAACCGGAGCUAAUACCGGAUAAUAUAUUGAACCGCAUGGUUCAAUAGUGAAAGACGGUUUUGCUGUCACUUAUAGAUGGAUCCGCGCCGCAUUAGCUAGUUGGUAAGGUAACGGCUUACCAAGGCAACGAUGCGUAGCCGACCUGAGAGCGUGAUCGGCCAAACUGGAACUGAGACACGGUCCACACUCCUACGGGAAGCAACAGUAGGGAAUCUUCCGCAAUGGGCGAAAGCCUGACGGAGCAACGCCGCGUGAGUGAUGAAGGUCUUCGGAUCGUAAAACUCUGUUAUUAGGGAAGAACAAAUGUGUAAGUAACUAUGCACGUCUUGACGGUACCUAAUCAGAAAGCCACGGCUAACUACGUG
rnacentral:rRNA from 1 species